rnacentral:rRNA from 1 species
AGUGAACGCUGGCGGCAGGCCUAAUACAUGCAAGUCGAACGGCAGCACGGCAGAGCUUGCUCUGUGGGUGGCGAGUGGCGGACGGGUGAGGAAUACAUGGGAAUCUGCUCAGUCGUGGGGGAUAACGUAGGGAAACUUACGCUAAUACCGCAUGCGCCCUUCGGGGGAAAGCCGGGGACCUUCGGGCCUGGCGCGAUUGGAUGAGCCCAUGUCGGAUUAGCUAGUUGGCGGGGUAAUGGCCCACCAAGGCGACGAUCCGUAGCUGGUCUGAGAGGAUGAUCAGCCACACUGGAACUGAGACACGGUCCAGACUCCUACGGGAGGCAGCAGUAGGGAAUAUUGGACAAUGGGCGCAAGCCUGAUCCAGCCAUGCCGCGUGAGUGAAGAAGGCCCUCGGGUUGUAAAGCUCUUUUGUCCGGAAAGAAAGCGCCGGGUUAAUACCCUGGUGUCCUGACGGUACCGGAAGAAUAAGCACCGGCUAACUUCGUGCCAGCAGCCG